rnacentral:rRNA from 1 species
GAUGAACGCUGGCGGCGUGCCUAAUACAUGCAAGUCGAGCGAACGGACGAGAAGCUUGCUUCUCUGAUGUUAGCGGCGGACGGGUGAGUAACACGUGGAUAACCUGCCUAUAAGACUGGGAUAACUUCGGGAAACCGGAGCUAAUACCGGAUAAUAUUUUGAACCGCAUGGUUCAAAAGUGAAAGACGGUCUUGCUGUCACUUAUAGAUGGAUCCGCGCUGCAUUAGCUAGUUGGUAAGGUAACGGCUUACCAAGGCAACGAUGCAUAGCCGACCUGAGAGGGUGAUCGGCCACACUGGAACUGAGACACGGUCCAGACUCCUACGGGAGGCAGCAGUAGGGAAUCUUCCGCAAUGGGCGAAAGCCUGACGGAGCAACGCCGCGUGAGUGAUGAAGGUCUUCGGAUCGUAAAACUCUGUUAUUAGGGAAGAACAUAUGUGUAAGUAACUGUGCACAUCUUGACGGUACCUAAUCAGAAAGCCACGGCUAACUACGUGCCAGCAGCCGCGGUAAUACGUAGGUGGCAAGCGUUAUCCGGAAUUAUUGGGCGUAAAGCGCGCGUAGGCGGUUUUUUAAGUCUGAUGUGAAAGCCCACGGCUCAACCGUGGAGGGUCAUUGGAAACUGGAAAACUUGAGUGCAGAAGAGGAAAGUGGAAUUCCAUGUGUAGCGGCGAAAUGCGCAGAGAUAUGGAGGAACACCAGUGGCGAAGGCGACUUUCUGGUCUGUAACUGACGCUGAUGUGCGAAAGCGUGGGGAUCAAACAGGAUUAGAUACCCUGGUAGUCCACGCCGUAAACGAUGAGUGCUAAGUGUUAGGGGGUUUCCGCCCCUUAGUGCUGCAGCUAACGCAUUAAGCACUCCGCCUGGGGAGUACGACCGCAAGGUUGAAACUCAAAGGAAUUGACGGGGACCCGCACAAGCGGUGGAGCAUGUGGUUUAAUUCGAAGCAACGCGAAGAACCUUACCAAAUCUUGACAUCCUUUGACAACUCUAGAGAUAGAGCCUUCCCCUUCGGGGGACAAAGUGACAGGUGGUGCAUGGUUGUCGUCAGCUCGUGUCGUGAGAUGUUGGGUUAAGUCCCGCAACGAGCGCAACCCUUAAGCUUAGUUGCCAUCAUUAAGUUGGGCACUCUAAGUUGACUGCCGGUGACAAACCGGAGGAAGGUGGGGAUGACGUCAAAUCAUCAUGCCCCUUAUGAUUUGGGCUACACACGUGCUACAAUGGACAAUACAAAGGGCAGCGAAACCGCGAGGUCAAGCAAAUCCCAUAAAGUUGUUCUCAGUUCGGAUUGUAGUCUGCAACUCGACUACAUGAAGCUGGAAUCGCUAGUAAUCGUAGAUCAGCAUGCUACGGUGAAUACGUUCCCGGGUCU